UACGUAGGGGGCGAGCGUUUGUCCGGAAUCAUUGGGGCGUAAAGAGCUUGUAGGCGGUUUGUCGCGUCUGCUGUGAAAAUCCGGGGGCUCAACCCCCGGACUUGCAGGUGGGGUACGGGGCAGACUAGAGUUGUGGGUAGGGGGAGACUGGGAAAUUCCUGGGUGUAGCGGGUGAAAAUGCGCAGAUAUCAGGAGGGAACACCCGGUGGCGAA
rnacentral:rRNA from 1 species